UUAAGCUAAUAAGAGCGCAGGGAGGAUGCCUUGGCAUCAGGAGCCGAAGAAGGACGUGGUAAGCUGCGAAAAGCUACGGGGAUUGGCAAGCACGAUAUGAUCCGUAGAUAUCCGAAUGGAGCAAUCCACAUGGAGUCAAGUCCAUGUAUCAUAUACUGAAUAAAUAGGUAUAUGAGGGGAACCGCCCGAACUGAAACAUCUAAGUAGGGCGAGGAAAAGAAAUCAACCGAGAUUCUGUGAGUAGUGGCGAGCGAAAGCGGAAGAGGCUAAACCAUAGGUAGCAAUACUUAUGGGGUUUCGGACAGCAUUUAGUAUUGAUAAUUUCUAGUUGAAACGUGUGGGAAAACGUACCGAAGAGUGUGAGAGUCACGUAAGCGAAAGAGAAAGUCAGCGAGCUGUAUCCAAAGUACCGCGGGACACGUGAAACCCCGUGGGAAGAUGGGGGGACCAUCCUCCAAGCCUAAAUACUACCUAAUGACCGAUAGCGAAUAGUACUGUGAAGGAACGGUGAAAAGAACCCCGGGAGGGGAGUGAAAAAGAACCUGAAACCCUAUGCUUACAAGCACCGAGAGCACGUCAAAGUGUGAUCGGGUACCUUUUGUAGAAUGGUCCGGCGAGUUAUUGUAUGCGGCAAGGUUAAGUGCUUAAGGCACGGAGCCGAAGCGAGAGCAAGUCUGAAUAGGGCGAAAAAGUCGUAUGCAAUAGACCCGAAACCGAGUGACCUAUCCAUGUCCAGGCUGAAGUGGAGGUAAAACUCCAUGGAGGGCCGAACACACGUCCGUUGAAAAGGCCGGUGAUGAGGUGUGGAUAGCGGAGAAAUUCCAAUCGAACUCGGAUAUAGCUGGUUCUCUCCGAAAUAGCUUUAGGGCUAGCCUCGUGAAAGAUUACUGGAGGUAAAGCACUGAAUGGGCUAGGGGUCGAAAGAUUACUGAACCCUAUCAAACUAAGAAUGCCAGAUAAUUGAUUCACGGGAGUCAGACAAUGUGAGAUAAGUCUCAUUGUCAAAAGGGAAACAGCCCAGACCCACAGCUAAGGUCCCUAAACAUUGUUAAGUGGAAAAGGAUGUGGGGUUGCAUAAACAACCAGGAUGUUGGCUUAGAAGCAGCCACUCAUUAAAAGAGUGCGUAAUAGCUCACUGGUCGAGUGACUCUGCGCGGAAAAUAUAACGGGGCUAAGCAUGAAACCGAAGCUUGGGCUUGUCGUAAGACAGGGGUAGGGGAGCGUCGAGUAUGGGGUGAAGUCAGAGCGGAAGCACUGGUGGACUGUACUCGAGUGAGAAUGCCGGAAUGAGUAGCGAGAAUUAUGUGGGAAUCAUAAUGGCCGAAAAUCUAAGGUUUCUUGGGGAAGGUUCGUCCGCCCAAGGUAAGCCGGGAGCUAAGGCGAGGCCGAGAGGCGUAGUCGAUGCACAUACGGUAAAGAUUCCGUAGCCACCGAAGUCGUUAAAUACAGGGACACAGGAACAUAGCCUAACCCCACCGUUGGUUGAGUGGGGCGUAAGGGAGCGAAAAUUAGUAGCGAAGUAGGUGAUUGUACACUGGCGAGAAAAGCUGUAUGAAUUGAUAAGGUGCCCGUACCGCAAACCGACACAGGUAGAUGAGGAGAGAAUCCUAAGACCAGCGGGAGAAGUGUUGUUAAGGAACUCGGCAAAAUGACCCCGUAACUUCGGGAUAAGGGGAGCCUACGCGAGUAGGCCGCAGAGAAUAGUCUCAAGCGACUGUUUAGCAAAAACACAGGUCUAUGCUAAAUCGAAAGAUGAUGUAUAUGGGCUGACGCCUGCCCGGUGCUGGAAGGUUAAGGGGAAGUGUUAGAGUAAUCGAAGCACUGAACUUAAGCCCCAGUAAACGGCGGCCGUAACUAUAACGGUCCUAAGGUAGCGAAAUUCCUUGUCAGGUAAGUUCUGACCCGCACGAAUGGCGUAACGACUUGAGAGCUGUCUCAACAACAUACCCGGCGAAAUUGAAGUACUGGUAAAGAUGCCAGUUACCCGUGAUAAGACGGAAAGACCCCAUGGAGCUUUACUGUAACUUGAUAUUGAAUUUUUGUAUUACAUGUACAGGAUAGGUGGGAGACAGAGAACUAAUGCCGCCAGGUGUUAGGGAGUCGAUGUUGGGAUACCACUCUUGUAAUAUGAAGGUUCUAACCUGCACCCGUGAAUCCGGGUGGGGGACACUGUCAGGUGGACAGUUUGACUGGGGCGGUCGCCUCCUAAAAGGUAACGGAGGCGUUCAAAGGUUGGUUCAG
rnacentral:rRNA from 1 species